rnacentral:rRNA from 1 species
UACAGAGGUCCCAAGCGUUGUUCGGAUUCAUUGGGCGUAAAGGGUGCGUAGGUGGCAUGGUAAGUCGGGAGUGAAAUCCCGGGGCUCAACCCCGGAACUGCACUCGAUACUACCGUGCUCGAGUACUGGAGAGGAGACUGGAAUUUACGGUGUAGCAGUGAAAUGCGUAGAUAUCGUAAGGAAGACCGGUGGCGAAGGCUAGUCUCUGGACAGUUACUGACACUGAGGCACGAAGGCCAGGGGAGCAAACGGG